UUGGCUUUUUUUUUUUUUUUUGUGCUGGCUGUGCACUAAAAAGAAUAUACUGCUGGGAGGGAGAGUAAAGAAGAGUUGGAGGUUGCCUUUAAGGUUUCUUAGGCCAGUGAGAGGAAUAGUGAGGAUUUUCCUGCAGAUAUUGCAGUAUGAGCUCAGACUCUGUUUCAGACUUGUCACCAAGCUGUCAGGCUGGGAAGAUGAGAAGGGACAGUGGGAGCUGGCUGUGGAAGCUGGCCUUUCCCACUUGGAAGGAUGUGCUCCUCCAUGAUAUGUGCAGCACACACCCCACAGCACACCUGGUCUGCUGCCCAGGUGUCUCCACUAAAUUUCUUCUUGGAAAGGAGGAGAGCAGCAAAUUGUAGCAGCAGAUCAUAGGGAAGGGGAGAGGCAGCAGCCAGGUCCCUUCUUAGUAAUUUCAGGGAAGAUUUGGGGUUUGUCUUAACUUGAAGCAGCUAACCAGACCAAGAAGAAAGAGCACUCUCACUUGCCCAAGAGAAAUUAAAAUUUUGCUGUAAUGAGGCAAAAUCUUCAGUGAAUUAGAUCCAGUAGCAAGGUAUGGGCAGAUCCUCCUGGACAGAGAGGACAUCACACCUUCAGCACUCUUUUUGAUAGACCUCUUGAGACUGCUUGGCAGAUGUGGGAAGUAAAGAUUGUGUUCAACUGGGUGAUGUCCCAGCUGUGCCAUGGGCUGUGGAGGGAAAGGCUACAGUGACAGUGCAAAAGGGAGAGCACUUCUCACCACUGCUGGCAGAAAACCUAUCCUUGCUCCCUGCACACUCCCACUCUCUGUCCCCUCUGUCCCUUGGCUUGUUCUUCACUUCCCAGCUGAAGUCCUUGCAGAGGGACCAAGCCCUGGACAGUUCAGGGCACUUCAGGUCUGAGGGAGAGGCUGCAGUGGUGGGGAAGGGGAUGAGGAGCUGCACAUGGAAACAUCAGAAAUGAUCACUUGAGGAAGUCCAGAGGAAAUACAAUUAUCUUCUAAUGAUGACAACAGACCAGAGAUGUGGACACAUGUCAUGGUUACAGGACAACCCAUGCAGGGACCCCUGAUCACAAGGACUUGGGGACUGCAAGUCCUCCCUAAAACAGAACAGCAAGCUAACAGCCAGCUACUGGGCUCGAGCAACUUCUCUUUGUAAACUCCUUUGCCAUGGUAGAAAGAGGCCCAGAAAAGAGACCUCAAUUCUUUGAAGUGAGCACUGAAAUUAUUGCCAAGGACUCAUGGCAAAAGAUCGUGGGAAAAGACUUUCUAUUGAUUUUUUUUUUUAAUUAGUUACUUAAAGCUUCCUCAUCUUGGCCAAGGAAAUGUAACCAUUCACUAUUGCCUGCUGCUCAGAAUAGCUCCUGCACCCAUUCAUCAUGCACUAGGAGAUGUAAGCUCCUUGUUCUAGGAUUGAAACUCCUUUGGGAAAGUUUUCAGUUAAGGCUAAGGCAGCUCCUCAGUUUUGGUUAGAUUAUAUAUGCCUUUUUAAAUACUCUAAAAUAUCUUUGGAUCUCAAUCCCUAACGAGCAGUUGGGGCAUUGCAGGGGCCAGCACCAGCUGCUGAGAAGCAGAGGUGAGAACCCUGCUGGAAGAGCUGUGGGACAGAUGUCCCCACACAUCAGGUCCCAUCACAGCCUGCACCUGGCAGGGCUGCAAAGGGGAGCUGCAUUUCCCAAACUGCCUCUCUUGCUUUUGCUGGAGAUUCUGGGUAACUGCACUUACGUACGUGAGAGCCCAGAAGAGUCAGAAAGAAACAGCCUCAGGAUGAUUUAGUAGAUCUGCACUGUCAGCCAGCUGGAGUGCUUGGAAGUGCUCACCUCUACCAGCAAGAUGCUGGGGCUGCUCUGGAUUCCUGGGGGGGAUUUUAGCAUCACCAAUUCCUGUUUGUGUGCUGUGAUUUGCCCCCAGGCUGCAGUGUGGCUCCAGGAACACCCUGCUCCAUUUCACCCAGGAAAAGGGUCUGCAGUGAUCUUCAUCAGCAAGGAUCAGUGAUGCUGAUGGAGGAAAAUGUGAGAAACUGAGUUCCUCUGUGCAGGGGGUACAUGGAUCAGGACAAACCAGCCUGGGAAAGUAAUGGUGAAAGAAAGUGUGGAUCUUGUGCCUGGCUCAGCCAGCCACCUUGGGGAAGUGACCUUGGCCUUAUCUACACAGAGACAACCAGGAAAAUGAAUCUGAAUUAACCUUUGCAAAUUGGAUUAGCUAAACUUCAUUAAACUGUCUAUGUGGACAUUCCUGUUCAGAAUUCAAGUAGCCUCCACUCAUCCUGGCUUACCUCAUGUCCACAAGAAGUGAGAAGAAACUCAGCUUUUUUUUUUUUUUUUUUUUUUUUUUUUUUUUUUUUUUUUUUCCCAUUGUGAGUAAGUACAGUUUAACUAAACCACUGUAACAUCCAACUUCAGACUAAUGAUCCCCCAUGGUCUCACGUGUCUUUGUCUUCCUGCCACCCCAUCUAUUUGGACAAGGAGCUCUAGAGUCUCUGGAUGAAGGAGCAGCUCUGACUGUAUGCACAGACCAUGCCUACUGCAGGAUCAACACCACCUGUAGAUGAAAUGUAGCCUCAAGCUGUGCCUGGGAGGUUAAGCUGGGCACCAGGAGGAAUUUCUUCAGAGAAAGAUUUGUCAAGCAUUGGGUUGUCACCAUCCCUGGGAGUGUUCAAGAAAGGAUUGCACACUGGUCUAGCUGACAAAAUGGUUUUCAGCCACAGGCUGGACUCAGUAAUCUCAGAGGCCUUUUCCAACCUGAAGGAUAUUGUAAUUCUGUGAUUCUGUGACUCUUUCACAGAAGUAAUACUGGUGCAAUUGUAAAGCUGUUGAUUUGGGUAGGAGAAUGUCUAUCGGGGUGGGUUGGUUUGAACCCAGCAAAACAAAAGUCUCAUCACACCUGAUGGACCUGACUACCUGGAAAGGCAAGAAAGCAGGGGUGAUAAGGGAAUAUUGAGUUGUUUCCCUUAGCUGUAGUAAAGCUUUCAAUGCUCACUCUCCCUAGAGCCAGGCUGGGGAGAUAUGGGCCCAGUAAAUAGGAAAGAAGGAAGCUGGAGGAUAGGUUGGACUGUUGCACUCACAGGGUGGUGAUCAGAAGUACAGAGCCCACUUGGCAACUCGUUGCUGUUGAGAUCCUGGGGGGCUGGUACUGAUGGCCUGGAUAAUUGGGCACAAUCUCAGGAAGUUUUCGGAAGCCACCAAAGGAAGCAGCGGGGAGGGAAGCACUUGACACCCAAGAGGCAGCAGCUGCUGUUCAGAGGGAGUGGAGAAAUGGGCAGACAAGUGCACAGUCCUAAUGGAAUAACCUCACAAGGGAGCAGGACAGGCCAGGGGACAGCUGGGCUGGGAAGCAGCUUGAUAGGAAGGGAGGUGGGGUUGUGGGUGACUCAGGAAUUGAACAGGGAUCAUUGCAGAGGUGAGCUACACCCUCAGCUCUGUGAGCAAGGAGGCAGGCAGCACACCAAGGGAGUGAGAAUCCCCUCGGUUUGGCCCUUCUGAGAUUGUUUUGGAAACACUGGGUCCUGUUUGGGGCUUCCUAGGACAAAAUCAGCAUUGACAGAUUGAAGCAGGUCCAGCAGAGGCCACUGGUGGAUGGUUGAGGUACAAGGAGAGGCAAAACCAGCCAGGUUUGUUCAUCCUGGAGGAGAAUAGGAGGAAGAUCAAACUGAUUUCUGCAGUUCCCUGAAGGAAGGGAUAGAAAAGACAGAACUCCUGGAGGUGCAGAGCCAGGCUGGGUUCUAUGUUCUAGGGCCUAAAUCUGGGCUUUGAGUGCCAGGCUCACCUGCAGUUCCUCAAAGGAAAGGGGUGCUCACACCAUGAUGCCAUUCUACUUGGGGUGUGAGGAUGCUCUCUGUCAUCAUGUUUGGGCAUUGCUGGUGAGGGUUAGAGAAGUAGGUCCUCCUUAUUCCUAUAAACUGGAUUAGUAGAGUAGUAAACAUAUAAUAAAGUAAUAAUAAACAUUUCUAGAGUGAUUAAUCUGCUAAUUGAGGAAUCAGUCCGGUCUCACUUCAUAUGUAAAGGUGUGUUUGCCAAAACCACUCCUUUGAACUUGCUCAUACCUUUCCAUCUGUGGUUCCACAUUUUCCUUUAGAACUCCAGUGAAGCCUGUGAGAUGUGCCACUGAAUUUACCCUUGCUCACCAGGCAGGAAACUGAGGUUCAGAGAAGCCAAGCAACUUGUUUGGAGUCAUGGUUGAGUCUGGCACUCAGGGUGUCCUGCUUGGUCCCACAGAAAGCUGGCAGAGGAAUUUUAAAUACUGGAUAAGACUCUGCACAGAAGACAGAGUAGUUUGGGCUGGUGUAGAAGAGGUUUUACAGCAAGUUCUGUGAGCCAGAGAGAAGUUUGAUAAGAGGAUCCAUGUUUGAUAAGAAGAUCCAUGUUUACCCCUGAAAGAAUUUUCUACCAAGGUCGUUGACAUAGAAACCAAGAAAGAAAGAAGGAUAAAUAAGAGAAACCUGCAGCUGCCUGUUCCAAUGAGCACUUUGUCUCUUGUGACCAAAGAGUAAAGUGUAAACUUAUGAAAUUUGUAAGAAUGUAUAAAAGCAUGCAUGUUAUAGUAAAAACAGGUCUGAAGCCUUCUGAAAA